UGGGGCCUGGGAACUCUUUGUCACUGGGAGGCAUGGUCUGCUGCUGUGUUUGAGCUCAGCUUUGGGCCUUGCGCCACCGCCAGCCACUUGUGUGGCUGCUGGAACGAGGUUGGACCUCUCUCGGCCUCCGUGUCCACCCAGGGGACGAGGCGUCAAACCUGCUGUCCUGACCUGAGCAGGAGCCCUUGGGAGGGGCUGUGUCCCUGUUGCCCGGCUGCGUGCCAGGGAGGGAGGUGUCCAGAGGUGUUUAUGGAAAUGAGUCCAUGCGGCUGAUAAGACAAAGGAUGUGGGGCUUGUGUCGUGAGAUCCCCGAGUGUAAAGCAUCGCUGCUGUGCCCACAGAACCUCCCGGUUCUCCGGUUCUCUGGUGUCUGUCCUGCACGCCGCCCACCUGCCUUCUCGGCCAGACAAGGGGUCCAGACCAGGACCUCCCUGGGAUUCUGACUUUUCUCAGGAGGCAGCCUUGCUCUCCUGUCCACCCUUAGCUCUGGGUGUACGAGGUCAGGGCACCGGGCACCUGUGCUGCCAGGUGGUGGCUGGAACCACAGGUGGCUCUUUGAGCCCCUGAAAUGUGGCUGGACCUGAGUGAGAUGCUCUUCACACAUAUGGUACACAUGGGCUUUCAUGGACUUAGAACCAAAGAAAAGGGAAGCUCACUUUUUAUACUGAUUGCUUGUUGAAAUGAUGUUUUGGACAUAAUUGGAUUAAAAAGUAUGAUUAAAAUUA